GACGAACGCUGGCGGCGUGCUUAACACAUGCAAGUCGAGCGGAAAGGCUCCUUCGGGGGUACUCGAGCGGCGAACGGGUGAGUAACACGUGAGUAAUCUGCCCUUGGCUUCGGGAUAGCCACCGGAAACGGUGAUUAAUACCGGAUACGACCACUUCUCGCAUGGGAUGGUGGUGGAGAGUUUUUCGGCCAGGGAUGUGCUCGCGGCCUAUCAGCUUGAUGGUGAGGUAAUGGCUCACCAUGGCUUCGACGGGUAGCCGGCCUGAGAGGGUGACCGGUCACACUGGGACUGAGACACGGCCCAGACUCCUACGGGAGGCAGCAGUGGGGAAUAUUGGGCAAUGGGCGGAAGCCUGAUCCAGCAACGCCGCGUGAGGGAUGACGGCCUUCGGGUUGUAAACCUCUUUCAGCAGGGACGAAGCGCAAGUGACGGUACCUGCAGAAGAAGCACCGGCCAACUACGUGCCAGCCGCCGCGGUAAAAC
rnacentral:rRNA from 1 species